rnacentral:rRNA from 1 species
GGUACGUACGCUGGCGGCGUGCCUAAUACAUGCAAGUCGAACGAACUCUGGUAUUGAUUGGUGCUUGCAUCAUGAUUUACAUUUGAGUGAGUGGCGAACUGGUGAGUAACACGUGGGAAACCUGCCCAGAAGCGGGGGAUAACACCUGGAAACAGAUGCUAAUACCGCAUAACAACUUGGACCGCAUGGUCCGAGUUUGAAAGAUGGCUUCGGCUAUCACUUUUGGAUGGUCCCGCGGCGUAUUAGCUAGAUGGUGGGGUAAUGGCUCACCAUGGCAAUGAUACGUAGCCGACCUGAGAGGGUAAUCGGCCACAUUGGGACUGAGACACGGCCCAAACUCCUACGGGAGGCAGCAGUAGGGAAUCUUCCACAAUGGACGAAAGUCUGAUGGAGCAACGCCGCGUGAGUGAAGAAGGGUUUCGGCUCGUAAAACUCUGUUGUUAAAGAAGAACAUAUCUGAGAGUAACUGUUCAGGUAUUGACGGUAUUUAACCAGAAAGCCACGGCUAACUACGUGCCAGCAGCCGCGGUAAUACGUAGGUGGCAAGCGUUGUCCGGAUUUAUUGGGCGUAAAGCGAGCGCAGGCGGUUUUUUAAGUCUGAUGUGAAAGCCUUCGGCUCAACCGAAGAAGUGCAUCGGAAACUGGGAAACUUGAGUGCAGAAGAGGACAGUGGAACUCCAUGUGUAGCGGUGAAAUGCGUAGAUAUAUGGAAGAACACCAGUGGCGAAGGCGGCUGUCUGGUCUGUAACUGACGCUGAGGCUCGAAAGUAUGGGUAGCAAACAGGAUUAGAUACCCUGGUAGUCCAUACCGUAAACGAUGAAUGCUAAGUGUUGGAGGGUUUCCGCCCUUCAGUGCUGCAGCUAACGCAUUAAGCAUUCCGCCUGGGGAGUACGGCCGCAAGGCUGAAACUCAAAGGAAUUGACGGGGGCCCGCACAAGCGGUGGAGCAUGUGGUUUAAUUCGAAGCUACGCGAAGAACCUUACCAGGUCUUGACAUACUAUGCAAAUCUAAGAGAUUAGACGUUCCCUUCGGGGACAUGGAUACAGGUAGGUGCAUGGUUGUCGUCAGCUCGUGUCGUGAGAUGUUGGGUUAAGUCCCGCAACGAGCGCAACCCUUAUUAUCAGUUGCCAGCAUUAAGUUGGGCACUCUGGUGAGACUGCCGGUGACAAACCGGAGGAAGGUGGGGAUGACGUCAAAUCAUCAUGCCCCUUAUGACCUGGGCUACACACGUGCUACAAUGGAUGGUACAACGAGUUGCGAACUCGCGAGAGUAAGCUAAUCUCUUAAAGCCAUUCUCAGUUCGGAUUGUAGGCUGCAACUCGCCUACAUGAAGUCGGAAUCGCUAGUAAUCGCGGAUCAGCAUGCCGCGGUGAAUACGUUCCCGGGCCUUGUACACACCGCCCGUCACACCAUGAGAGUUUGUAACACCCAAAGUCGGUGGGGUAACCUUUUAGGAACCAGCCGCCUAAGGUGGGACAGAUGAUUAGGGUGAAGUCGUAACAAGGUAGCCGUAGUCCUU